GUUUUAUAUAAAUCUAUUUACUUUUAAAAAUAUGCAACAAAUACAAUAGAAAAAAAAAACUACCUCUCCUGAUAUUAUUCUGUCAAUAUGAAUCGUGGUUAAUAACUGCCAAAAGAAAAAAAAAAAACAAAAAAACAGAACAACGCUUCUUGAACAACCUCGCCAUAACCUCUCCAUAGCUUCUUGAACAACCUCGCCAUAGCAGAUAGCACACAAUCUCAUAAUCCAAAUUCUUCCAUCACAAUUCCACCUUUGCUUUCGUAAAAUUCAUAAUCAGGGCGCUCUCACAUUGUUCAAUUCAUCAAUGUGUGAUUCAUUCGUCAAUUCUUUUCGCUAUAAUCAGGCUUCUCACCAAGCAUCUCCUCCUCAACCUUCGGCCAAAAGCCCAAAGACCCCUCCCUCUUCUCCUACAACUGCAAAACCCACGGCAACCCAAGAUAUUUAUUUUUCCUUCCACAUCAAUUCACGUUCUUCGAAUUCGACGAGCAGAGAAAAAUGAUUUCACCUUUUUCGAUGAUACCGGAUAUCUGGAUCUUCCCAGGAAACUCAGGGAUCUUCGUGAGGCAUAAAUCAUAUUCAUAAUGGCCAUGGUAGAUGAACCGCUAUAACCCAAUUGAUGUUCUAAUUGAUGAGCUGAAAAAUGAGGAUAUUCAGCUUCUGUUGAAUUCGAUUCGUUGUCUUUCAACCAUUGCUCGAGAAUUCGAAUAUUUCGUACUAUAAACCUAUGAAAGAUCCAGAAUUCUAUCUUGCCUCCAUAACCUAUAUUAGUUCAAGGUCUUCAUUUUAUCCCAUUUGUUUGGCACAGGAAACUCAAGGAGUGUGUGUUGCUGGAUAUGGGACUAAUGAGUUUCCUGCCUUCUUUACUGAAACAAGUGGUUGUAAGGUUUCUUGUCGCAUAAAUUCCCCUGAAGAUGCUGCUCUCUUAAUAGACGCCAACACAAAACUCAAGCUAGGAACUGGGAACAGAACAUAAAGGGAAGUGCUGAAACCCCAUUCUUGGUUUCAAAAGUAAACGAAUUAACUGGAGGAGCUUCAUUGACUUCUAAUAUCGCUCUUGUGAAGAAAAAUGCAGUUGUAGGAUCCAAGAUUGUUGUUUGUCUUUCCCAAUUAAGAGGAUAUAAUUGUCAAGUCAAAUCUUGAUGGUCGUCUAUGCUCGGGAUCUUUGGGUACAUGGCUGGUACUUUCUUGGGAUUCCUAGCACUUAUUCGCAAGAGAUGAUUGACGAGCUAAGAAAUAUGUGGGUGAAAUAUUUAAACAAUCAAACACGAGACGAUGGAGAUUGAAGACAAUGGUCAAGUUUCAAUUGUACAUAUUAUUUGCUCAAGUUAGAAUUUUAAUUUUCAUAGAUAUCAUUAGAUUAUAGAAAUUUUAUUUUUGAGACAUUAAUUAUUGGAAUAUAUUGAUGCGUUGACUAGUGAAA